UACGGGGGGAGCAAGCGUUGUUCGGAUUUACUGGGCGUAAAGGGCGCGUAGGCGGCCACCGCAAGUCGACUGUGAAAUCUCCGGGCUUAACCCGGAAAGGUCAGCCGAUACUGCGGGGCUAGAGUGCAGAAGGGGCAACUGGAAUUCUCGGUGUAGCGGUGAAAUGCGCAGAUAUCGGGAGGAACACCAAUGGCGAAGGCAGCUCACUGGGACGGCACUGACGCUGAGACGCGAAAGCGUGGGGAGCAAACAGG
rnacentral:rRNA from 1 species